AACGAACGCUGGCGGCAUGCCUAACACAUUCAAGUCGAACGAGACCUUCGGGUCUAGUGGCGCACGGGUGCGUAACGCGUGGGAACCUGCCCUUAGGUUCGGAAUAACUCCCCGAAAGGGGUGCUAAUACCGGAUAAUGUCUUCGGACCAAAGAUUUAUCGCCUUUGGAUGGGCCCGCGUUGGAUUAGCUAGUUGGUAGGGUAAAAGCCUACCAAGGCGACGAUCCAUAGCUGGUCUGAGAGGAUGAUCAGCCACACUGGGACUGAGACACGGCCCAGACCCCUACGGGAGGAAGCAGUGGGGAAAUUGGGCAAAGGGGCGAAAGCCGGAUCCCACAAUGCCCGGUGAGUGAAAAAGGCCUUAGGGUUGUAAAGCUCUUUUCCCCGGGAUGAAAAUGACAGUACCGGGAGAAAAAGCCCCGGCUAACCCCGU
rnacentral:rRNA from 1 species